rnacentral:rRNA from 1 species
GGNACCGGGGGNACCUGCCNAUANACUGGANACUCCGGGAACCGGGGCUAANCCGGANACAUUUUGAACUGCNUGGUUCGAAUUNAAGGCGGCUUCGGCUGUCACUNUGGAAUGGACCCGCGUCGNAUNAGCUAGUUGGUGAGGUAACGGCUCACCAGGCAACGAUGCGUAGCCGACCUGAGAGGGUGAUCGGCCACACUGGGACUGAGACACGGCCNUAACUCCUACGGGAGGCAGCAGUAGGGAAUCUUCGGCAAUGGACGAAAGUCUGACGGAGCAACGCCGCGUGAGUGAUGAAGGCUUNCGGGUCGUAAAACUCUGUUGUUAGGGAAGACCAAGUGCUAGUUGAAUAAGCUGGCACCUGGACGGUACCUAACCAGAAAGCCACGGCUAACUACGUGCCAGCAGCCGCGGUAAUACGUAGGUGGCAAGCGUAUC